rnacentral:rRNA from 1 species
AGUGAACGCUGGCGGUAGGCCUAACACAUGCAAGUCGAACGGCAGCACAGUAAGAGCUUGCUCUUACGGGUGGCGAGUGGCGGACGGGUGAGGAAUACAUCGGAAUCUACUUUUUCGUGGGGGAUAACGUAGGGAAACUUACGCUAAUACCGCAUACGACCUACGGGUGAAAGCAGGGGAUGUUCGGACCUUGCGCGAUUGAAUGAGCCGAUGUCGGAUUAGCUAGUUGGCGGGGUAAAGGCCCACCAAGGCGACGAUCCGUAGCUGGUCUGAGAGGAUGAUCAGCCACACUGGAACUGAGACACGGUCCAGACUCCUACGGGAGGGAGCAGUGGGGAAUAUUGGACAAUGGGCGCAAGCCUGAUCCAGCCAUACCGCGUGGGUGAAGAAGGCCUUCGGGUUGUAAAGCCCUUUUGUUGGGAAAGAAAAGCAGCAGGUUAAUACCCCGCUGUUCUGACGGUACCCAAAGAAUAAGCACCGGCUAACUUCGUG